CUGCAUGCUUCCCAAGGGCGUUGGCUCCACGUAGCCUCUGGCUCUCCAAAAGCGUGCCAGAUUAACCUGGGGAGGCUUUGUCAGCCUGGACCGGUCAUGUCUGUGGCUGUCACUCAACUCUCCUACAAUC